AUCUCUUUUCUAAAAUUCAAUUCAGUAUCAAUCGCAACUCUCUCACUCCUCUCCUAUUUCACGCCGGUCACCGCAAAACUAUGGAAGAGAGCUCGCCGCGUCACAGGGCUGCUUCUCCGUCGCCGCCACUGCUGUCUACCGUCGUCGCUGCGGAAGCCCCAGCAGCCGUUUCCGCCGCUGCCCUCUUUUCUCAAGCAGGUUGAGCGGUGAUGUUGCGGCGGAUGUUGAGUUGAGCCUUAAGAAAUUCCGGAUGCGUCGUGUCUUCAUACAUAGACGACUCCCUUUGACUCUCUUGAAUACUUAUUUUUCCGCUGCCGUGUUUGAAAUUAAUUUCUAGAAGUCUUCCGCACUAUGUAAUACUGCUUUAUGUUUUGAGGCUAAAAUCCAUUGCUUAACUUUUCAAUAAACUAAAAUAUUUCUUUUUGAAGUUAAUUGGGUUUUUU